CUACUUUUUAUAAGAGGGAACAUUAUUUAAAGAAUAUGUAUUUAAUUGGAAAACUCUCUAUUCGUCUAAAGGCUAUAACAAGAAAGGGGGUGUUUUCAGAGGUGGUAGGUGGUAAAAGAAGAGGUCAGCAGGAAGAUGGCGAAGAGUGACCAAAGACCAAGAAAAAGAGGCAGUCAGGGAAAGAUGAAGAGUAUUAUAUCCCUUACAGACCUAAAGACUUUGACUCUGAGAGAGGGUUGAGUCUCGGUGGAGAGGGCAGUGCUUUUGAACAGCAGGCCUCUUCAGCUGUCCUUGAUCUCAUGGGAGAUGAAGGCGAUCGCCUUAACCAGCAGAAGAAAAUGAUGAAAUGGGACCGUAAGAGGAAGCGUUUUGUGAGAGAAACGGGAAAAGAAGACCAGAAGAAGAAGAUCAAAACAGACAGCGGUCAGGUUAUCAGUAACAAGAAGAACAGGAAGAACUUUUAUGAGGAGUGAAGGAAAAAAUACAAGAUUGAUGAUACAGGAUCUGGAUCAGAUGGAGAAACAGGCGGAGGAGGCAGGAAGCCAGCAAGAGGUCGUGGCCGUGGCCGACGAGGUCCAAACGUACAGAGCUCCGGUGACCACAAAGCACGCUCGGAGCUGAAAACAAAGGAUCAGAUCAUGAAGCAGCGC